GAAGCAGGCUUUCAUUUCUUCUCUCAGCCUGGGUGCCCACAGUGGGCCUGCCAUCUUCUUCCUCUCUCCCAGGCCUGCUAUCCACUACAGAGCCAGGUUUCUUGAUAUGGCACCAAAGGUCCUGCUGAAGGCAGCUCCUGCCUACCUUCCCGGGCCCUAAUGGGGCAGUGUAUCCAGUCUGUCAGGAGUUCCUCUUUCCAACAGAGCACGAUGGCAUGGGACACUGGACAUUUUCUGAUGGGAACUAUGAGACCAGUGUAGGGACACAGUUUGGUAAGGUAUAGCACCGACAACCAGGGAAGGGAGAGCAGGCCGGCAUGGAUAAGAACCUUGGCAACUAGCAGGGUCUGGGAGAGGGCCUGGGGUCACACGGCAGGCUGGGGGGACAUGGACAGGGUCCAGGGACAAGUGGGCCAGGAGGAUGGGUAUGAGGCCAGGGCUCAGUUCUGUGGAGAGGAGAAGCAUGGAGUCAGCCUGGGAAGCCUGAUAAGGUCUGUCUGCUUUGCAUUAAGAGAUGGCACCCGGUGUAGUGCUACCCCUCAGUCGAGGAGAAAGCCUCUGUCUGGGUGGUGUCUUCAUGGAGGCGAGGCUGCCCCACAGUCCCAGGGGACCUGAUGACAACACCUAUGGUCCCAACAGCCAUGUGGCUCUACCUUCCUCUGUCCCUUGUAAAACGGGGCCAUAACAACACCUCUCUGCAUGAGUGUCAGAUAAUUAGAGGAGCUAGUGCAUGCAAGAGCCCGGUGCUGACUACACGGCUGUUACUUUCAUCAUCAUCAUCUUCUUCAUCAUCUUCAUCACCACCAUGACCAUCAGAGAAUGCUCCCAAAAAGAUGACUGCUUAGCUGAACCUAGGCAGGGGGAGAGCGUGUACAAAAACCCAUGGCAUGACGGGUAGUGAGUGAGGAGCCACAGAGUGCUCCGUCAGGCAGAGUGGGAGGGAGACGGGGCUGGGCACGUGCAGAGGCUGACUUGGGGGUCUCCAGGCCAUCCUGGGAGGGAUGGGGCAUGCUGAGGGCUUAGGAAAGUCACUUCCUCACACUGUGUACCCCCAGCAGGCUGAAAGAGACAAGACAGGUGUAGGGACCAGAGUGAGUGUCCCCAGGGAAGUGGUGAGGUCAUCAGGGAGAGAGCGGGCUGGGUUGUGGGGGACUCCAGAGAAGAAAAGAUAUCAGAGAAGUAAGUCCCACUGUCAUGGGCUGAAUUGUGCCCCUCCCCCAUUCAUAGGUUGAAGUCUAAUUCCAGAACCUCAGUAUGUGACAUUUAGAAAUAAGGUCAUGGCAGAUACAAUUAGUUAAGAUCAGAUCUUAUUGAAGUAGGGUGGGUGCCUAACCCAGUAUGACUGCUGUUCUUAUGAAGAGAACGACAUGUGAACACAGACACACACACACACAGAGGGAGAACUCCAUGGGAACAUGAAGGCAGAGUCAGGCAACACCAAAGAUUGCAAGAGAACCACCAGAAACUAGGGAGAGGCCUGGAGCACAUUCUCCCUUAUGGCCUUAGAAGGAAUCAACCCUGCUAAAGACACCUUGAUCUGGGACUUGCACCCCCAGAACACUAAGGCAAAUUGUUGUUUGAGCCUCCUAGAUCUCUGUUGCAGCGGCUCCAGCAACCUCCUACACUUGCCAACAUAGGGGAAAGACUGUGACCCCUGGGGCUGGGGGUGUCUGCAGCUUGGGCCCUGACAUAGAGUCAAAGCCAGCAGGGGCGUGGGAUGCAGGGACGGGAUGAAUACAUCACUCACCAAGCUGUGGUGAAACCGCUCUUUCGUUAGCCUCUGUGCCUCGUUUAUUCUUGAUGGUCUUCCUUAGUGGGAAUCUCAUGGCUUUGGCUCCCCCAGUAUUGAGGCCCGCCCCUCCCAGCCAUUGCCCUGUUGUGCUCCAGUUCCUUGGGUACUGCAAUGGGGUGACUCCUGCCUGUCCCAGUGUCCUGUCCAGUGUGCCUGGAUGAUGGGAGGUUACACCCUUUUCUCACUAAAGAGAGCUCCUGGCCCCGGGGAGGUUGGGCCGGUGUGUAGCUGAGUGAGGGGUAACGGAGCUGUGGCAUCACUUUGAAGGUCACUGUGGCACUAGCCAGGGCAGUCGGUUGUGCACAUUGAUUGGAGCCCCUGCCCUGUCCUCCUGCAGACAUUUUUGGAAUGCUCUGCGUGUGCCCUGGGAGUGCAGCAGCAUCAGUUUGGAUGGCAUGUGUCAUACAGAGAACAAAAUGAGAUUGCAAAUUAGAGAGUAGACCAUCUUGGUGCACUGGUCUAGGGGAGGAGGUCGCCACACAGCUGACAACUGGAUGGCCAAUAGCUGAAGGACUGGAAGCUGGGGGAGGGGUUGGGUUGGUGUGAAUAUAUAGAGGGCAGCAUGGGCGUAGAGAGCCCAGGGUCCAGGAGGAGGCCAUCAUGGCUAAAUGCAGUGGGGUCACGGACAUCGGGAGCCCAGUGAGCACACGGCCAAAGUCAGGAGGUUGAUUUCAUUUCAGGUGCACUGGGAGCCACUGGAUGACACUGAGAGGAGCAGUGAGAUGGCCAAACAUAAGUUUUCUAACAUAUUCUGAACAUCAGAAAGGGCUGGCCUUUGCUCUUUCUCAGCACCAGCCACUGGCAAUGCCCUAACACUCCCAGAUCUGCUCCAGUCCUCCUGCGCACACCUCAAGUUCCCCCAAUGGCUGCCCUCCACAUUCAGGACAUAGUCCCAACCCUGUGCUUGACUGACCACCCCUAGACCUUACCCAUUUCCUCCUGGGGCCAUGGAACCUACUGCCUUCUUCUCUUCUCCCUACGUCGGUCCCCUUCAAGUGUCAGGGGCUGCCAUGGUGUUUCUGACCUCUGGAAUAGAAACUAAAGGCGUUCUGACUGCAUGACCAAGAUGGGGGCUUUCCUGCUGGAUGAAAAGCAUGCUCAGACUACAUCAUCACCAAGCUCUGUGCCUGAGAUCUUCCCCAGAAUCCAGAGCACCAAAUCAGGACCCUGAAACUGCUCACAAAGAUUUCGGAUGCUGCUCAGUUCAUUUGCCCAGCUCCUGCCCUUCUGCUGGAAACAUCACCUCACUUCCUUGGGGGUGACUGCUCUGCCCCACUGGGACUACCUGAUUCUAGGGGAGCAGCCUGUCUUCCCAGCCUCAUUCCCACCCUAACGCCAUAAGCUGAAGUAAGCCCAAGUCCUUUCCUAACACUUCUGAUUGGGGCUAUGGAGAGGGGACUCCCUUCGCCCUUACUUAAAAAAAGAGGAAAAUGUGAGGGUGGGCCACAUCCCUGCCCUUACUGGCUUCUGUGCACAGGAGCCCCAAUCCUUCCUCUGGCCUAGGCUGGUCCAGGUAAGCCCUGUGCCUAUCUGGAUCAGUUGUCAGGAUCAGUUGUUAGCUUUGCCAGUUUGUGGCUGUCAUCUGAAACAUUCCCUCAGUUUUAUACCUCCUCAUCUGUCCCUCCACCAGUGACACCUUUCCCCUAAGGCCAGUUGUGUCUGGUGAAAUUCCUCCUGUCUCUCAAGUAACUUCCUUUGAGUAGCCUUUGCUGAGCCUCAGGCUUCCAUGACCUGUCCAGGACCCCAACUCUUUCAUAUAGGAUCUGAGCAUCCAGCCCCACCCCAAGCUGAAGGUGGUGGUGGCUGACAGGUGAGUGUGGGGC